rnacentral:lncRNA from 1 species
CCCCAUUGAUGAACUUCCCUGCUAUACUGAAACAAAUGAGAGUUUGUUUGAAGGUGAAGAUGCUGAAGAUAGAUUUGAUGACACAGAAGAAUAUGAGAAUACUACCAAUAUAAGUGAAACCUUGAACAUGAACGUCAUGGAUCUUCAAGCUUACUCAACAGAGGAGUUCCCAUGCUAUAAUAGAGAUGAAGAGACUUCAUUUGAAGGUGAAGGCAGCAAAGUUAGCAAAGAGAAUGAAAAAGACAGCUCAACAAAAUAUGCAAACCAUUCUGCUUCUAGUCCAAGCUUUCGAGAACAGGUGAAGAUCCGUGUUUGCCCCAUUAAUGAACUUCCCUGCUAUACUGAAACAAACGAGAGUUUGUUUGAAGGGGAAGAUGCUGUAAAAAGAUUUGAUGACAAAGAAGAAUAUGAGAAUACUACCAAUAGAAGUGAAACCAUGAACAUGAAUGUGAUAGAUCUUCAAGCUUACUCCGCAAAUGACUUCCCGUACUAUAAUCGAGUGGAGGAGAUUCUGUUUGAAGGAGAAGGAAGCAAAGUUCGCAAAGAGGAUGAAGAAGACUGCGAUAGUGGUAACACUAGUAGGACAGCAAAAGAAACACAUGCAGAUACAAUUAUUCAAAUUUCUUCAAAUAAUGCAACUUCUCAUGAAGAAACCAGACAGUUUGAAGAAUAUAGUAAUAUGCAGCAAAGUUUGAGGAGUAUUUCUUCAUUCUUUCUUCCUACCCUGGAAGAAGAUCAUAUGCAGCCAUCUGUUUCUAUCAAUUCAGUAGUGGGAACAGCACUUACUGGAUUUUCCAUGGAAGAGAUGUUGGUGAACAACACUGUUCCUGAAUUGGAUUGGCUGAAUGGGAAAGAAUAUACAGGUAAAUCUGAUAAAGAUCUGCAACCAAUACACAGUUAUACUGUUCCGGAUGAAAUCGAGGUUAUAGAUUUGUUGUCCCCAUCUCCAGAAUGCAGAAUCAGGGCAAGCAGAAAGAAAAGAAGAGUUUCUAUUGUUUGUCCUGAGAUCAUUGACUUGACAUAAUUAACAGUCUGUCUUUGUUUAUCCAAUUACUGAGCAUUGGACAGGAUAAACGAGUAACAAAUGAGAUCAUUUACUCAAUGCAAUCUCCUUAGUUCGUCCAAUUAUUGAGUGUUGUAUAUGUAGGAAACUGAUAAUGGGAAUAAUAGAAAUGAAGUAUUUAAAUUUGUUCAAUUUGCAUUUUUGUUUGUUUGAUUUCAACAUUUGAUUUCAACUUUACUCAGAUUCCUAAUAGAAAAAAAGAAAAGAAAAGAAAAGAGAUGAGAGUUUGUUUGAAGGUGAAGAUGCUGAAGAUAGAUUUGAUGACACAGAAGAAUAUGAGAAUACUACCAAUAUAAGUGAAACCUUGAACAUGAACGUCAUGGAUCUUCAAGCUUACUCAACAGAGGAGUUCCCAUGCUAUAAUAGAGAUGAAGAGACUUCAUUUGAAGGUGAAGGCAGCAAAGUUAGCAAAGAGAAUGAAAAAGACAGCUCAACAAAAUAUGCAAACCAUUCUGCUUCUAGUCCAAGCUUUCGAGAACAGGUGAAGAUCCGUGUUUGCCCCAUUAAUGAACUUCCCUGCU